AUUGAACGCUGGCGGCAGGCCUAACACAUGCAAGUCGAACGGUAACAGGAAGCAGCUUGCUGCUUUGCUGACGAGUGGCGGACGGGUGAGUAAUGUCUGGGAAACUGCCCGAUGGAGGGGGAUAACUACUGGAAACGGUAGCUAAUACCGCAUAACGUCGCAAGACCAAAGAGGGGGACCUUAGGGCCUCUUGCCAUCGGAUGUGCCCAGAUGGGAUUAGCUAGUAGGUGGGGUAACGGCUCACCUAGGCGACGAUCCCUAGCUGGUCUGAGAGGAUGACCAGCCACACUAGAACUGAGACACGGUCCAGACUCCUACGGGAGGCAGCAGUGGGGAAUAUUGCACACUGGGCGCAAGCCUGAUGCAGCCAUGCCGCGUGUAUGAAGAAGGCCUUCGGGUUGUAAAGUACUUUCAGCGGGGAGGAAGGGAGUAAAGUUAAUACCUUUGCUCAUUGACGUUACCCGCAGAAGAAGCACCGGCUAACUCCGUG
rnacentral:rRNA from 1 species